GACGGAGGAUGCAAGUGUUAUCCGGAAUCACUGGGCGUAAAGCGUCUGUAGGUGGUUUAAAAAGUCUACUGUUAAAAAUUGAAGCUUAACUUCAAAGAUGCCGUAGAAACUUUUAAGCUCGAGGAUGGUAGGGGUCGAGGGAAUUUCCAGUGGAGCGGUGAAAUGCGUAGAUCUUGGAAAGACCACCAAUGGCGAAGGCACUCUACUGGGCCAUUACUGACACUAAGAGACGAAAGCUAGGGGAGCAAAUGGG
rnacentral:rRNA from 1 species